GCAUGCACAUAUUUGUUUAUUUUUUCUUUUUCAAAUCAUCAAACGUGACUCUAGCUUUAAAUAUAUAAUAACCAUAAAAUCUGAAAUAUGUUUACCAAUGGAAUUUUAAUACGAUUUUGAGUUUCGAAUUUAAAAAAAAAAAAUCGCAUUGUUAUAUAAUAAUUUAAAUUUUAUUGGCUGUCCCUAUGGUAUCUUUCGCUCCUCUUUUAAACAAAAGUAAUAGUUAUGUAUGGAAAAAAAUGUUUAGCGUGUUUUUUGUUUUUGAAUCUUAAUUGUAUUCUCAGCUUUUAAUUUUUAUUUUUCUCCGAAGUAGCAAAACAUUGAUUGUAUUCUUGCGUUCAUUUAAUUAUUCAUAUAUAUGUUUACUAUUGUCUACAUGGGAAAGUUUGUAUGUUCUCAUUUCCAGUGUGUAAAAAAGAUCAUUAUUGGUUUUUCAUGAAAUUAUUAUUUUAUUGUCUAUAUUACUUCCUUUGUUUUUGUUGUUUUCAUUUUCUUUUUGGUAUUGUUUUUAGGAUAAACAAAUUUAUAUGGUUACUUUGUGUCGUAAUUUUCAGUGUACAAGAACAAAACAAGAGUUGUUAAUUUCAUUGUCUAUCAAAAUUUAAGCAUUUGCAUCAUUCGUGUAUUUUUUCAUCUUUUUUUAUAUAGAAAACAUCAGUCUAUGUUUUUCUUUUACGCUAGAGUGGGGUGCGCUUAUUCGCCGGGGACACAAUUUCGCCGUUUUACUAUUUUGAGGUGUAAAUACUUUAAAAGAUGGCUGAAAUGGAAGAAAUAUGCCAGUGACUUAGAUUUUCUAUAUCUGAAUUGAUUUGUAUCUUAAAUUUUUAACACGGAAAGUCAUUGACUUUCUCAUAUCUGUUUAAACUGUCCGUUUGAAUAAUCUUAUCUCUGUUUGCUUGGCAUCUUGAUGGUCAAUAUGAUCUGUAUUUAGAUUUCAAAAAAAGAAAUCAAAACUAUGUAAUAUUCAGGUUGCGAAGUUGUUUUGCUGUAUGUGUUGUUUUGCGUUUUCCAUAUGUUACGUGUCUUAAUGCAGUACGGAAUAUAUAGUUACCAACUGUGAUUUUUUUUUAAUAAAAUGCGACUUAUAAUCGCAAUUUUUUGUUUAUUUAUUUUUUUGAAAAUUUCUUGUAUUUUUAAAAUAAUCACAGAACCAAAAACCUCCACAGGAAUCACUUUCCUGAAACGCGUGAAAAUGUUCAUAAAAAAUUUCUAUGAUAGAACAAACAAUUUCCACAAGAACUUAUUAUAAUCUAACGCGUGAAAAUGCUCGGCGUGAAAAUCCUCGUAAAAAUUUCUGACAAAAUUCG
rnacentral:lncRNA from 1 species